rnacentral:rRNA from 1 species
GGGCAGCGGCAGCUUACACAUGCAGUCGAGGGGCAUCGGGGAGUAGCAAUACCCUGCCGGCGACCGGCGGAAGGGUGCGUAACGCGUGAGCAACUUGCCCGUAACUGGGAGAUAACCGACGGAAACGUCGCCUAAUAUCCCAUAACAACAUAAUCCGCAUGGGUAAUGUUUAAAAGAAUUUUGGUUACGGAUGGGCUCGCGUGACAUUAGCUAGUAGGCGGGGCAACGGCCCACCUAGGCGACGAUGUCUAGGGGUUCUGAGAGGAAGAUCCCCCACACUGGAACUGAGACACGGUCCAGACUCCUACGGGAGGCAGCAGUGAGGAAUAUUGGACAAUGGGGGCAACCCUGAUCCAGCCAUGCCGCGUGAAGGAAGACGGCCCUAUGGGUUGUAAACUUCUUUUGUCGCAGAGCAAUAAGGUUUACGAGUAGACUGAUGAGAGUAUGCGACGAAUAAGCAUCGGCUAACUCCGUGCCAGCAGCCGCGGUAAUACGGAGGAUGCGAGCGUUAUCCGGAUUUAUUGGGUUUAAAGGGUGCGCAGGCGGCGUGCCAAGUCAGCGGUGAAACCCCCAGGCUUAACCUGGGACCUGCCGUUGAUACUGGUGUGCUAGAGUCACCUUGCCGUGGGGGGAAUGAGUGGUGUAGCGGUGAAAUGCAUAGAUAUCACUCAGAACACCGAUUGCGAAGGCACCUCACGAAGGGUAGACUGACGCUCAGGCACGAAAGCGUGGGGAUCGAACAGGAUUAGAUACCCUGGUAGUCCACGCAGUAAACGAUGAUGGCUAACCGCCGGCGAUAAAAUGUCGGUGGCCAAGCGAAAGCGAUAAGCCAUCCACCUGGGGAGUACGACCGCAAGGUUGAAACUCAAAGGAAUUGACGGGGGCCCGCACAAGCGGAGGAUCAUGUGGUUUAAUUCGAUGAUACGCGAGGAACCUUACCCGGGCUCGGGCGGCAGGUGAACGAUACAGAGAUGUAGAGCCCACUUCGGGGCGCCUGUCGAGGUGCUGCAUGGUUGUCGUCAGCUCGUGCCGUGAGGUGUCGGCUUAAGUGCCAUAACGAGCGCAACCCUUGCCGUCAGUUACCAGCACGUAAAGGUGGGGACUCUGUCGGGACUGCCACCGCAAGGUGAGAGGAAGGGGGGGAUGACGUCAAAUCAGCACGGCCCCUACGUCCGGGGCGACACACGUGAUACAAUGGUGGGUACAGAGGGGAGCCACCCAGCGAUGGGGAGCAGAUCUCAAAAACCCAUCUCAGUUCGGAUUGGAGUCUGCAACUCGACUCCAUGAAGCUGGAUUCGCUAGUAAUCGCGCAUCAGCCAUGGCGCGGUGAAUACGUUCCCGGGCCUUGUACACACCGCCCGUCAAGCCAUGAAAGUCUGGGGCGCCUGAAGUUCGUGACCGCAAGGAGCGACCUAGGCGAAA